GGUGGAUGUGGAUGCUCCGUUGGAACAUUUUCAUCUGCAGUGUUCAGUUGAGAGUCCCUCCCUCUUCUAAAUAUAAAAUAAGGUGCAAUGGGAGGAAUGAUGCAACUACAACAAAUGGGGAGAGAAGAAGAACAUCCACAGGAUAUUCCAGUCCUUAGAGCGCUUGCAGCUGAAGGAAAGAAGGUGACCCAUAUACAGCAGGGUAUGAUGAUGUCGUUUCUGCUGCUGUCAGAGCUGGAGGCCUGAGUUGAUCUGGAGGCCUGAGUUGAUCUGGAGGCCUGAGUUGAUCUGAGACUGUAGUUUUUAAACUCGAGGAGAGAAGAAGUUUGUUAUGAAAUAAGCACAUAUGCUGAUAUUGUACUAAUUAAAACCUAAUAAUAUGUGACUGUUUAAUCUCCAUAUCAACUUGGCUGCAGAGCCCCUUUAGC